ACUAUCAUUAACUGAAUCCAUAGGUUAAUGAGGCGAACCGGGGGAACUGAAACAUCUAAGUACCCCGAGGAAAAGAAAUCAACCGAGAUUCCCCCAGUAGCGGCGAGCGAACGGGGAGCAGCCCAGAGCCUGAAUCAGUGUGUGUGUUAGUGGAAGCGUCUGGAAAGGCGCGCGAUACAGGGUGACAGCCCCGUACACAAAAAUGCACAUGCUGUGAGCUCGAUGAGUAGGGCGGGACACGUGGUAUCCUGUCUGAAUAUGGGGGGACCAUCCUCCAAGGCUAAAUACUCCUGACUGACCGAUAGUGAACCAGUACCGUGAGGGAAAGGCGAAAAGAACCCCGGCGAGGGGAGUGAAAAAGAACCUGAAACCGUGUACGUACAAGCAGUGGGAGCACGCUUAGGCGUGUGACUGCGUACCUUUUGUAUAAUGGGUCAGCGACUUAUAUUCUGUAGCAAGGUUAACCGAAUAGGGGAGCCGAAGGGAAACCGAGUCUUAACUGGGCGUUAAGUUGCAGGGUAUAGACCCGAAACCCGGUGAUCUAGCCAUGGGCAGGUUGAAGGUUGGGUAACACUAACUGGAGGACCGAACCGACUAAUGUUGAAAAAUUAGCGGAUGACUUGUGGCUGGGGGUGAAAGGCCAAUCAAACCGGGAGAUAGCUGGUUCUCCCCGAAAGCUAUUUAGGUAGCGCCUCGUGAAUUCAUCUCCGGGGGUAGAGCACUGUUUCGGCAAGGGGGUCAUCCCGACUUACCAACCCGAUGCAAACUGCGAAUACCGGAGAAUGUUAUCACGGGAGACACACGGCGGGUGCUAACGUCCGUCGUGAAGAGGGAAACAACCCAGACCGCCAGCUAAGGUCCCAAAGUCAUGGUUAAGUGGGAAACGAUGUGGGAAGGCCCAGACAGCCAGGAUGUUGGCUUAGAAGCAGCCAUCAUUUAAAGAAAGCGUAAUAGCUCACUGGUCGAGUCGGCCUGCGCGGAAGAUGUAACGGGGCUAAACCAUGCACCGAAGCUGCGGCAGCGACACUAUGUGUUGUUGGGUAGGGGAGCGUUCUGUAAGCCUGUGAAGGUGUGCUGUGAGGCAUGCUGGAGGUAUCAGAAGUGCGAAUGCUGACAUAAGUAACGAUAAAGCGGGUGAAAAGCCCGCUCGCCGGAAGACCAAGGGUUCCUGUCCAACGUUAAUCGGGGCAGGGUGAGUCGACCCCUAAGGCGAGGCCGAAAGGCGUAGUCGAUGGGAAACAGGUUAAUAUUCCUGUACUUGGUGUUACUGCGAAGGGGGGACGGAGAAGGCUAUGUUGGCCGGGCGACGGUUGUCCCGGUUUAAGCGUGUAGGCUGGUUUUCCAGGCAAAUCCGGAAAAUCAAGGCUGAGGCGUGAUGACGAGGCACUACGGUGCUGAAGCAACAAAUGCCCUGCUUCCAGGAAAAGCCUCUAAGCAUCAGGUAACAUCAAAUCGUACCCCAAACCGACACAGGUGGUCAGGUAGAGAAUACCAAGGCGCUUGAGAGAACUCGGGUGAAGGAACUAGGCAAAAUGGUGCCGUAACUUCGGGAGAAGGCACGCUGAUAUGUAGGUGAAGUCCCUUGCGGAUGGAGCUGAAAUCAGUCGAAGAUACCAGCUGGCUGCAACUGUUUAUUAAAAACACAGCACUGUGCAAACACGAAAGUGGACGUAUACGGUGUGACGCCUGCCCGGUGCCGGAAGGUUAAUUGAUGGGGUCAGCGCAAGCGAAGCUCUUGAUCGAAGCCCCGGUAAACGGCGGCCGUAACUAUAACGGUCCUAAGGUAGCGAAAUUCCUUGUCGGGUAAGUUCCGACCUGCACGAAUGGCGUAAUGAUGGCCAGGCUGUCUCCACCCGAGACUCAGUGAAAUUGAACUCGCUGUGAAGAUGCAGUGUACCCGCGGCAAGACGGAAAGACCCCGUGAACCUUUACUAUAGCUUGACACUGAACAUUGAGCCUUGAUGUGUAGGAUAGGUGGGAGGCUUGGAAGUGUGGACGCCAGUCUGCAUGGAGCCGACCUUGAAAUACCACCCUUUAAUGUUUGAUGUUCUAACGUUGACCCGUAAUCCGGGUUGCGGACAGUGUCUGGUGGGUAGUUUGACUGGGGCGGUCUCCUCCUAAAGAGUAACGGAGGAGCACGAAGGUUGGCUAAUCCUGGUCGGACAUCAGGAGGUUAGUGCAAUGGCAUAAGCCAGCUUGACUGCGAGCGUGACGGCGCGAGCAGGUGCGAAAGCAGGUCAUAGUGAUCCGGUGGUUCUGAAUGGAAGGGCCAUCGCUCAACGGAUAAAAGGUACUCCGGGGAUAACAGGCUGAUACCGCCCAAGAGUUCAUAUCGACGGCGGUGUUUGGCACCUCGAUGUCGGCUCAUCACAUCCUGGGGCUGAAGUAGGUCCCAAGGGUAUGGCUGUUCGCCAUUUAAAGUGGUACGCGAGCUGGGUUUAGAACGUCGUGAGACAGUUCGGUCCCUAUCUGCCGUGGGCGCUGGAGAACUGAGGGGGGCUGCUCCUAGUACGAGAGGACCGGAGUGGACGCAUCACUGGUGUUCGGGUUGUCAUGCCAAUGGCACUGCCCGGUAGCUAAAUGCGGAAGAGAUAAGUGCUGAAAGCAUCUAAGCACGAAACUUGCCCCGAGAUGAGUUCUCCCUGACUCCUUGA
rnacentral:rRNA from 1 species